rnacentral:rRNA from 1 species
GUGGCUUCCGGAGCUAACGCGUUAAGUAGACCGCCUGGGGAGUACGGCCGCAAGGUUAAAACUCAAAUGAAUUGACGGGGGCCCGCACAAGCGGUGGAGCAUGUGGUUUAAUUCGAUGCAACGCGAAGAACCUUACCUGGUCUUGACAUCCACAGAACUUUCCAGAGAUGGAUUGGUGCCUUCGGGAACUGUGAGACAGGUGCUGCAUGGCUGUCGUCAGCUCGUGUUGUGAAAUGUUGGGUUAAGUCCCGCAACGAGCGCAACCCUUAUCCUUUGUUGCCAGCGAUUAGGUCGGGAACUCAAAGGAGACUGCCAGUGAUAAACUGGAGGAAGGUGGGGAUGACGUCAAGUCAUCAUGGCCCUUACGACCAGGGCUACACACGUGCUACAAUGGCGCAUACAAAGAGAAGCGACCUCGCGAGAGCAAGCGGACCUCAUAAAAUGCGUCGUAGUCCGGAUUGGAGUCUGCAACUCGACUCCAUGAAGUCGGAAUCGCUAGUAAUCGUGGAUCAGAAUGCCACGGUGAAUACGUUCCCGGGCCUUGUACACACCGCCCGUCACACCAUGGGAGUGGGUUGCAAAAGAAGUAGGUAGCUUAACCUUCGGGAGGGCGCUUACCACUUUGUGAUUCAUGACUGGGGUGAAGUCGUAACAAGGUAACCGUAGGGGAACCUGCGGUUGGAUCACCUCCUUACCUUAAAGAAGC